rnacentral:rRNA from 1 species
AUGGCGUUAGCCACUUCCUCGCUGAAAAAAGGAUGUCGCGUUAACCAACUUGGUGCGUGUGUAUCGCUCGAUCUUGUUCCACACCGGCCGUCGUGCCUUGCGUUGAUCUUGGCCCGAAUCGACGAACGAGCAAUGGCGGCCCAGAAGGAACAACCGGACUGGCUGAACCUCCCCUCCGAUCUACUCACGAUCAUCGCGCGGAGGUCCCGCGACGCCGUCACCGGGCUCACCGCGUUCCGCUCCGUGUGGCGGACAUGGCGCGCUGCGGCAGGGCCAGCGCCGCGCCUCCUGCUCCUGCUCCCCCUUCCCCGCCACACGCGGCUCGUCUUUCCCUUGGCGCGUGGCUGGUCGAUCGUCUUCGAUGUCCGCGACGCCGCCUGCCACCUCUCGCACCUGGCCACGGGAGCCACGGCCGCCCUGCCCAGGCUCGACGCCUCCCGCGACGCUGGCAGCGACGUGCCAACCUACAUCGACUUCGCGGACUGCUUGCGCUUCGCCGUCCACAUCCCGCCCGGCUCCGGUUCCCCGGCGGGGAUGACGAUCAUGAUGUACCACAUGAUGCACGAGGAGACGAGCAUGCUCUUCUGCCGCCCCGGAGACGCGGCCUGGACCAAGGUGGGGAAGCCCAACCACACAGGCUACGGCUACUUCGACUUGGCCUACCACGACGGCAGGAUGUUCGGCAUGGCCGUCAACGGCCAGAUGGCCGUCUUUGACGCCACCACGCUCGACGCCCUCCAGCUGGUCCAGACCCCGCCGGGCACGCCUAACCUCGCCAACAAGAUGUACGGCUGCUGCUGUCGGAUGGAAGAGUUUAAUUAUGUCCACCUUGUUGCGUUGCCGAGCAAGCUGGUUCUGGUCAGGACCACCGUCAAGUCUUCCCGGCCGGUGGCCUUCAGCAUCUUCCAGUUAGUCUCUGCGCCUAAUGGGCAGCUCGCCUGGCGCAUGGUGGCCGAUGCUGGCAACUACGAGUUGUUCGUGGAUGGAUACCACACCACCUACAGGGAAAACCACGGCGCCAACGGGGACGGAACUUGGAUCUACUAUGUUCAUGAGACGCAAUAUCUUGCUUACACGGCGGCCUACCGCUACAGCGUGCAGUAUAAAAAGUUGGAAUGCGUCUACAAGUCACCCAAGGGUCUCCGUCCCGAGUUCUCAACCAAGUCCACUUGGUUUGUUCCCUAG